AUUGGUUUAAUCUUGGAUUAUCAAGAAUCAAACAAGAGGAUUCAAGAAAGAAAAUGAAAUGGAAAGAAAAUUUGAAGAACAAAAUUCGUAGGUUUUUAGUAAUUGUGGACAUAUCUUGUGAAAUUCAUACCUCUUUGGGUAUACUGAGUUAGAAAGUGAGCCUUAUUUCAAAUCGAAGAUAUGGAAGUAAGCUAUAUUCUGAAAGUGGAAUCACAUGAAAACUCUUUGUAGAUUUCUUGCAAUGUCUGUUUUAGUAAGGCUGGUCCGAAGGGAAAAUAAUCUGUCCAGAAAAUCAAAACUGUUACGAUUUCUGACUUUGAAAAAUUCAUAUAAAUUCGUGUGUUUUGAAUCUGAAGAAACCUAAAACUGCAAAGUUGUAGAUAUAGAAGUUUACUAGCUAGACACGCGAGAUUGAGCCAUUUUAUGGACCUUCAUGUCCAAAAUAAAUUGUUUGGUAAGGAUGUCUAGAAAAUGAAAUUUUCUAGACUAGUUGAUGAAUUUCAGAAUCUGGUUUAGAU
rnacentral:lncRNA from 1 species